rnacentral:tRNA from 1 species
GCCAGAGUAGCUCAAUUGGCAGAGCAGCCGAUUUGUAAUCGGCAGGUUGGUGGGUUCGAGCCCCCCCUCUGGCUCCA